UUAUUUUCAAGAACACUGGCCUGACAUCACUGUUUCCAGGUGCCGCUCCUACAGGCUUCCCUCCAGCUGGCCCUUCCUGCCAGGCCCUGGGAACACAGCAUGGGAAACCAGAGGGAACCCAACAUGAAGACGCGGGAGAAGAUGGCGACUUAGAUGCCAGGAGAGGGGCCCUGGGACGGGUCCUUCCUUGCAGCCUCAGAAGGAGCCAGCCCUGCCCGCACCUUGAUCUGGGACUUCUGGCCUCCAGAACUGUGGGAGGAUGCACAUCUGCCAGUCCAGCCCCCAUCUGUGUGCUCUGUCGUGGGAGCAUGGGAAACCAGCAGGAGCACUUCUCAGCUUACAGUGCAGGUCCGUCCUGAUGAACCCGGGGCAAGCUCGUGACAUCACUAAGUUGAGACUUCACUGACUUCACCUAACCUAGCGACCAUCACAGCUCAGCCCAGCCUACCGGAAACAUGCUCAGAACACCUACGCCAGCCUACAGCUGGGCACACACAUCUAACGCAAAGCCUGUUUUAUAAUACAAUGUUGACCGUCUCACGUAAGAGUACUGUACCGCAGAUUGCUAGCUCAGAGAAAGAUCGAAAUUCAAAAUUCAAAGUAUGGUUUCUACUGAAUGCAUAUUGUUUUUGCAACAUUAUAAAAUCAAAAAACGAU
rnacentral:lncRNA from 1 species